CAAAAACAUUUCCUCUUAGAAAAAGAGGUAAAGCCUGCUCACUGAGGAUUUAAAGAGCCGCAGUAUCCUAACUGUGCUAAGGUAGCAUAAUCAUUAGUCUUUUAAUUGGAGACUGGUAUGAAUGGCUUAACGAGAAAUUGACUUUUUUUGUUAUAAAAAUUGAAUUUAAUUUUUUAGUGAAAAAGCUAAAAUAAUUCAGAAAGACGAGAAGACCCUAUAGAGUUUUAUGUUACAUAAGAUUUAUUUUUAGUAGGUUUUUAAAAAAUGAGUUUUUAAAAACAUUUUGUUGGGGCGACAUUUAGAUAUAAGAAACUCUUUAUUUUUAUAAUUUUAGUGAAAAUUUUAAUUGAUCCUUUAAAAAAGAUCAAAAGAAAAAAUUACCUUAGGGAUAACAGCGUAAUCUUUUUUGAGAGUUCUAAUCGACAAAAAGGUUUGCGACCUCGAUGUUGGACUAAAAUUUAGACAGGGUGCAGUAGUUCUGUUUUAAGGUCUGUUCGACCUAUAAUA
rnacentral:rRNA from 1 species